AUUGAACGCUGGCGGCAGGCCUAACACAUGCAAGUCGAACGAGUGGCGGACGGGUGAGUAAUGUCUGGGAAACUGCCUGAUGGCGGGGGAUAACUACUCGAAACGGUAGCUAAUACCGCAUACCAUCAGAGGUGCCCAGAUGGGAUUAGCUUGGUGGUGGGGUAACGGCUCACCAAGGCGACGAUCCCUAGCUGGUUUGAGAGGAUGACCAGCCAAACUGGAACUGAGACACGGUCCAGACUCCUACGGGAGGCAGCAGUGGGGAAUAUUGCACAAUGGGCGAAAGCCUGAUGCAGCCAUGCCGCGUGUAUGAAGAAGGCCUUCGGGUUGUAAAGUACUUUCGGCGGGGAGGCGUUACCUGCAGAAUAAGCACCGGCUAACUCCGUGCCAGCAGCCGCGGUAAUAC
rnacentral:rRNA from 1 species